rnacentral:lncRNA from 1 species
CUGAGCUAAAAUGUGAGGACUGUGGCCCGGGGCCUUUCUUCCCGAAGGAAGAGAGGGUGCCCGGGAAGUGGGGUGUACAGAGUGCUUCUAGACCCCCAGAGAGGACGUUUCACAUAGGAUCGAAAGGUCCCUUGGAUGAUAGUCGCGAGACUGCUCUGUCGGCACAGCGAUCGACAGACACUGCUGGGUGGCAGGUCUGUUGUCUGGGCCUGGGUGGUCACAGGGGAGCCGGAUGGUCAAAGUUGAGGGCCCUUCCAGUUGUGGCAUGUGGGACGCCGCCUCCACACGGCCCGACGAGCGGUGCCGUGUCCGUGCCGUGCC